rnacentral:lncRNA from 1 species
GUUUCUUUUGCAUGCUUCACCUUUGGCCUACCUUAAAAAGAAAAAAAAAACCAGAGAGUGCCCAAUGAGAACUAAUUUUGUGAAGCUUCAAGCACGUCCUGCGAACCCUGUUUGAUUGCCACCUCAAUUUUCAUUCACAUCAAUAAGCCAUAAUGAAAGGAACCCUUAAAAUACAAACUGUUCUUGACAGCGAACCAUUGAAUUGACAAGGUUCAAACCUGUGGAGCAUAUUAAGGCUAAGUAAAAGAUGAAUCCUGCCCAGUAUCAUAGAAAUUUGAAGAAAUCUAGGGCCGCAUGGGUGCUCUCGGCAUAGAUGGAAGGCUCGGCUGCUCAGUUUCUCUGGGUGCAGACAGCAGUCUCAGCCGCACAGGUGCUCUCUGCACAGAUGGAAGGCAGCACAGAACACAGAGGCUUUGCUUGCAUGUCAACAGACCAAGCUCUGGACACAGCACAAGGUCACUCCAGAACCACCCACAUCACCAAUCACCAUACAUGGGUAAUAGAUGGAAUUCAUCUUGCAAAACCUUACUUGCCAUCUAUUGGUGGGUGUGGCUACCAACUUUGUUCUGCAGCUUAUCAGGUACCGAGUUUCCAACUCCCCUACCUCCAGCUGUGAUAACUCAAGAUUUUUCUCACAAGCUUUUCUAGGGUGCAGCUAUCAAUGCAAAAUAGCAACUGUACAGGCACCUCGUUUCCAAUUCAGAGACUAAGAGUAAGAAGGCUCCAGGUAGAAGCUCAAGUCCUCUCACCCUGGCAACCGCCACCACCCUGAGCACAGAGACUCAAGCUAGGAAUCAACGACUCCACCUACUGCAAGAAAAGAAAAGAGAGUUCUGAAAGACUUUUUUUCUUUCUUAUUUUUCUUUUCUUGCUCUUCUCAUCAUUCUCCUCUACCCUUCCCCC